GACGAACGCUGGCGGCGUGCUUAACACAUGCAAGUCGAACGGGAAGGCCCUGCUUUUGUGGGGUGCUCGAGUGGCGAACGGGUGAGUAACACGUGGGUAACCUGCCCUUGACUGUGGGAUAACUUCAGGAAACUGGGGCUAAUACCGGAUAGGAGCUCCUGCUGCAUGGUGGGGGUUGGAAAGUUUCGGCGGUUGGGGAUGGACUCGCGGCUUAUCAGCUUGUUGGUGGGGUAGUGGCUUACCAAGGCUUUGACGGGUAGCCGGCCUGAGAGGGUGACCGGCCACAUUGGGACUGAGAUACGGCCCAGACUCCUACGGGAGGCAGCAGUGGGGAAUAUUGCACAAUGGGCGGAAGCCUGAUGCAGCAACGCCGCGUGCGGGAUGACGGCCUUCGGGUUGUAAACCGCUUUCGCCUGUGACGAAGCGUGAGUGACGGUAAUGGGUAAAGAAGCACCGGCUAACUACGUG
rnacentral:rRNA from 1 species